GUUGUCUCCUGGCUCCACCUCCCUCACCUUACAUCUGAAGGCACUUUGAAAGCCCCAGCCUUCUCAGGGCCUGUCUGCUCGGAUGCUGUUUGGAGGACCACCUUUCUCAGUAAGCUGCAGUGGCAAGUUGAGUGCUGCUGCCAGCACGCCCGAGUUCCUUAAGGAAGCAAGGUGUCCUGGGAGACAUCACUGACUAACGCACAAGAGCAGACAGCCCAGAGGUGCCAGCAUACAUGAGCCUGAAGUAUUUUUCAUAGAAAACAAUUUAU
rnacentral:lncRNA from 1 species